UACGAAGGGGGCUAGCGUUGCUCGGAAUCACUGGGCGUAAAGCGCACGUAGGCGGAUUGCUAAGUCAGGGGUGAAAUCCUGGAGCUCAACUCCAGAACUGCCUUUGAUACUGGCGACCUUGAGUCCGGGAGAGGUGAGUGGAACUGCGAGUGUAGAGGUGAAAUUCGUAGAUAUUCGCAAGAACACCAGUGGCGAAGGCGGCUCACUGGCCCGGUACUGACGCGGAGGUGCGAAAGCGUGGGGAGCAAACAGG
rnacentral:rRNA from 1 species